rnacentral:rRNA from 1 species
GAUGAACGCUGGCGGCGUGCUUAACACAUGCAAGUCGAACGGAGAGCACGGGCCUUUCUCUGUGGGACGAGUGGCGAACGGGUGAGUAACACGUGAGCAACCUGCCCCUGACUCUGGGAUAAGCGCUGGAAACGGCGGCUAAUACUGGAUAUGAGACGUGACAGCAUGGGGUGCGUUGGGAAAAAUCGGUCGGUUGGGGAUGUGCUGGCGGCUUAUCCCCUUGUUGGUGAGGUGGUGGCUCACCAGGGCGUCGACGGGUAGCCGGCCUGAGAGGGUGACCGGCCACACUGGGACUGAGACACGGCCCAGACUCCUACGGGAGGCAGCAGUGGGGAAUCUUGCACAAUGGGCGCAAGCCUGAUGCAGCAACGCCGCGUGCGGGAUGACGGCCUUCGGGUUGUAAACCUCUUUUAGCUGGGAAGAAGCGAAAGUGACGGUACCUGCUGAAAAAGCGCCGGCUAACUACGUG